UACGUAGGGUGCAAGCGUUAAUCGGAAUUACUGGGCGUAAAGCGUGCGCAGGCGGUUUUGUAAGUCUGUCGUGAAAUCCCCCGGGCUCAACCUGGGAAUUGCGAUGGAGACUGCAAGGCUAGAAUCUGGCAGAGGGGGGGUAGAAUUCCACGUGUAGCAGUGAAAAUGCGUAGAGAUGUGGAGGAACACCGAUGGCGAAGGCAGCCCCCCUGGGUCAAGAUUGACGCUCAUGCACGAAAGCGUGGGGAGCAAACAGGAUUAGA
rnacentral:rRNA from 1 species